GCGCAGGUACUCAAGCGGUCAACGAGGGCAGACUGUAAAUCUGCUGGACCUAGUCCUACGAAGGUUCGAAUCCUUCCCUGCGCA
rnacentral:tRNA from 1 species